CUACGGGCCGCACCAGUGAGGAAUAUUGCACAAUGGGGGGAACCCUGAUGCAGCAACGCCGCGUGGAGGAUGACGCAUUUCGGUGUGUAAACUCCUUUUAUGUGUCAAGAAAAUGACGGUAGCAUAUGAAUAAGCACCGGCUAACUCCGUGCCAGCAGCCGCGGUAAUACGGAGGGUGCAAGCGUUACUCGGAAUCACUGGGCGUAAAGGACGCGUAGGAGGGUUGGAAAGUCAGGUGUGAAAUCCUACAGCUUAACUGUAGAACUGCACUUGAAACUUCUAAUCUAGAGUAUGGGAGGGGGAGAUGGAAUUAGUGGUGUAGGGGUAAAAUCCGUAGAUAUCACUAGGAAUACCUAAAGCGAAGGCGAUCUCCUGGAACAUUACUGACGCUAAGGCGUGAAAGCGUGGGGAGCAAACAGGAUUAGAUACCCCGGUAGUC
rnacentral:rRNA from 1 species